GGAGGUUUUCCUUCCUUCUUUUCCUGUUUCCCCGCAAUAGAAACGGCCCCGGUGAUGUGGCGCUGACGUGGUCGGCGGCUCAGGUAAAUGAGAAGAUGUGUUCACCCCUCUCAGCUU
rnacentral:lncRNA from 1 species